GCACAAGCGGUGGAUGAUGUGGAUUAAUUCGAUGCAACGCGAAAACCUUACCUACCCUUGACAUGUCUGGAACCUUGGUGAGAGCCGAGGGUGCCUUCGGGAGCCAGAACACAGGUGCUGCAUGGCUGUCGUCAGCUCGUGUCGUGAGAUGUUGGGUUAAGUCCUGCAACGAGCGCAACCCUUGUCACUAGUCGCCAUCAUUUAGUUGGGGCACUCUAGUGAGACUGCCGGUGACAAACCGGAGGAAGGUGGGGAUGACGUCAAGUCCUCAUGGCCCUUAUGGGUAGGGCUUCACACGUCAUACAAUGGUCGGUACAGAGGGUUGCCAAGCCGCGAGGUGGAGCCAAUCCCUUAAAGCCGAUCGUAGUCCGGAUCGUAGUCUGCAACUCGACUACGUGAAGUCGGAAUCGCUAGUAAUCGCAGAUCAGCACGCCGCGGUGAAUACGUUCCCGGGCCUU
rnacentral:rRNA from 1 species